rnacentral:rRNA from 1 species
UGAGUAACGCGUAUCCAACCUGCCGUCUACUCUUGGACAGCCUUCUGAAAAGGAAGAUUAAUACAAGAUGGCAUCAUGAGUCCGCAUGUUCACAUGAUUAAAGGUAUUCCGGUAGACGAUGGGGAUGCGUUCCAUUAGAUAGUAGGCGGGGUAACGGCCCACCUAGUCUUCGAUGGAUAGGGGUUCUGAGAGGAAGGUCCCCCACAUUGGAACUGAGACACGGUCCAA